AAGGAUGUGGCUCAGUUGGUAGAGUGCUUGCUUUGAGUAUGCAAAGCCCUGGGUUCAAGCCCAUCCUUA
rnacentral:tRNA from 1 species